AAUGCGUACCAUGCAGACAGCAUCUCCAGUGCUCCUAAGGACUUUGCUGUCUACGGCCUGCAGGAAAAAGAUGACGAGGGAGGAACUUUGCUAGGAGAGUUCACCUUCACGCCAGGCCAGACUCCCAGUCAGACCUUCCAGCUGAAGAUAAGAAUGAGCACUCUGGGCUCAUCAAUUACGUAAAGCUGCAAGUGCUGAGCAACUGGGGCCACCCGGACUACACCUGUGUGUGUCAAUUCAGGCUCCACGGCAAUCCAGCUCAUGAUGAUGAAGAUAAGGGAAAGCUUUACCUGUCACGGAGGAAUCUCUAGGUCUGAGCCCGUGACAGGGGUGCAAACCCAGGGGACGAAAGCAAGUGGCAAAAGAAAUUACCCUACCUACCUACUAACAGCGCGGCACAUCCGGCCCCGGCUCUGUGACUAACAAGGCAAGGCAUGAUGUGGGCCAUGCGCUCCAGGAGAGGGGGGAGGGAGAUAACACAUGCGUCUAACAAAAAAAAAACAACAACCAACAACAAACUCAGAAUAAAUUAAUUCAACUUUUCCCAUCUUGAGUCUCUUUUGUCCAUCAGAGUAACUGUUAAGAGAUCUCCCUGUCUGUCUCGCCCCGUGAGCUUUUUCAUUCCCUUAUCUCCUGCUCUCCUGCGGGGGAGGAGGAGGAGGAGGGAGGGAGCGGCUGGGUGGGAGUUGGCAAAGUGAUCACAAGAUACUGUAUUUUCCGAUCCUUGUUGAACCACGGGCGAGAGUCAGCAGAACUGCUGCCCCCUUGGACUUCCAGAGGGCAGACCUUGGCCUCUUUCGGACCGUGGUUGAGAGGGUCCCUUAGGAGGCAGUUCUGGAGCGCACAGGAGCCCAGGAAGGCGGGGAAUGCUUUUAAGGGAGUUAUUUUAAAAGUGCAGGAGCUGACCAUCACUAAGUCACGCAAGACAAGUUGACGGGCAAGGAGGCCGGUCAGGCUGAACAGA